CCUACGGGAGGUAGCAGUGAGGAAUAUUGGUCAAUGGGCGGGAGCCUGAACCAGCCAAGCCGCGUGAGGGAAGAAGGUACAGCGUAUCGUAAACCUCUUUUGUCAGGGAACAAAGGCGGGGACUAGUCCCCGGAUGAGGGUACCUGAAGAAAAAGCAUCGGCUAACUCCGUGACAGCAGCCGCGGUAAUAAGGAGGAUGCGAGCGUUAUCCGGAGUUAUUGGGGUUUAAGGGUGAGAAGGCGGCCUGUUAAGUCAGCGGGAAAAGCCCGGGGCUCAACUCCGGCGAGCCGUUGAAACUGGCGGGCUGGAGUUGGAGAGAAGUACGCGGAAUGCGCGGUGUAGCGGUGAAAUGCUUAGAUAUCGCGCAGAACCCCGAUUGCGAAGGCAGCGUACCGGCUCCACACUGACGCUGAGGCACGAAAGCGUGGGUAUCGAACAGGAUUAGAUACCCCUGUAGUC
rnacentral:rRNA from 1 species